AAAGUGAAACCGCAAAAGGCUCAUUAUAUCAGUUAUGGUUCCUUAGAUUGUUAACAGUUACUUGGAUAACUGUGGUAAUUCUAGAGCUAAUACAUGCAAUAUAAACAUGUACCAUAGUGUAUUUAUAUAUUAUGAGACAUGUGCUUUUAUUAGGCAAAAACCAAGCAAUUGACGAUUCGUUGUUGAUUGUUGAACUUUGGUUGAACUCUAGAUAACUCGCUGAUCGUAUGGUCUAGUACCGACGACAGAUCUUUCAAAUGUCUGCCCUAUCAACUUUUGAUGGUAGUAUAUUGGACAACCAUGGUUGCUACGGGUAACGGGGAAUCAGGGUUCGAUUCCGGAGAGGGAGCCUGAGAAACGGCUACCACAUCUAAGGAAGGCAGCAGGCGCGUAAAUUACCCACUCCCAGUUCGGGGAGGUAGUGACGAAAAAUAACAAUACAGGACUCAUUUUAGAGGCAUUGUAAUUGGAAUGAGUACACUUUAAAUCCUUUAACGAGGACCCAUUGGAGGGCAAGCCAAGUGCCAGCAGCCGCGGUAACACUUGCUCCAAUAGCGUAUAUUAAUGUUGUUGCGGUUAAAACGUUCGUAGUUUAACCUGUGCUUCAUACGGGUAGUACUGAUUAUAGCUAUAGUCAUUUACUAUACCUUCGGUAUGUAAGCGUAUUAUCGGUGGGAGUUUCAUAUGUGUAUAUGUUGUGUAGGAUUGUGUUGGAAGUGGUUGUCGUGCUGUGUCAUUGCGGUAAUUGUGCUCGUUGUCCUCUAGCGGAGGUACAUCGUCAUAUUACGCAUGCGCUCACGUUUUGACGACAUUAUCAUCCAUUCUGCCAGUAUGCAUGUAUACUCCUAAUUUUCUUUUUCAACACAGCGAAAAAGAAAAACCCAUCGCAGUGCUCUUUAUCGGGUGUUGUGUGGGCCGGUACAAUUACUUUGAACAAAUUAGAGUGCUUCAAGCAGGCUAUUAAAUGCCUGAAUAUUUUGUGCAUGGAAUAAUGAAAUAAGACCUCUGUUCUACUUUCAUUGGUUUCUAGAUCAAAAGAGGUAAUGAUUAAUAGAAGCAGUUUGGGGGCAUUAGUAUUACGACGCGAGAGGUGAAAUUCUUGGACCGUCGUAAGACUAACUUAAGCGAAAGCAUUUGCCAAAGAUGUUUUCAUUAAUCAAGAACGAAAGUUAGAGGUUCGAAGGCGAUCAGAUACCGCCCUAGUUCUAACCAUAAACGAUGCCAGCUAGCAAUUGGGUGUAGCUAAGAUUAUGGCUCACUCAGUCGCUCCCGGGAAACCAAAGCUUUUGGGCUCCGGGGGAAGUAUGGUUGCAAAGCUGAAACUUAAAGGAAUUGACGGAAGGGCACCACCAGGAGUGGAGCCUGCGGCUUAAUUUGACUCAACACGGGAAAACUUACCAGGUCCGAACAUAAGCGUGUAAGACAGAUUGAUAGCUCUUUCUCGAAUCUAUGGGUGGUGGUGCAUGGCCGUUCUUAGUUCGUGGAGUGAUUUGUCUGGUUAAUUCCGAUAACGAACGAGACUCAAAUAUAUUAAAUAGAUGCUUGCAGGAUUAUGGUGUUGAAACAUUUAUAGCCAUCAUUCAUUUUGUGUGCGAGUACAAUGUCGUACGAUGGUUGUGCGAUGAAUGUCAAUCGACUCUUGGGUUGUAUUGCAUUCAUUGCCUACCCGAACAUGAUAUCUGUUAUUUGCAUCACAUAUGCUUGACUGCGUUUUAUAAAUGUGGAGCCGUACCUGUUGGUUUGUCCUAAAUAUACUUUAUAGAGGGAUACUUAGCUUCUUAAAUGGACAAAUUGCGUCUAGCAAUAAUGAGAUUGAGCAAUAACAGGUCUGUGAUGCCCUUAGAUGUCCUGGGCUGCACGCGCGCUACAAUGAAAGUAUCAACGUGUAUUUAUCCUAGACUGAGAGGUCCGGGUAAACCGCUGAAACACUUUCAUGCUUGGGAUUGUGAACUGCAACUGUUCACAUCAACUUGGAAUUCCCAGUAAGUGCGAGUCAUUAGCUCGCGUUGAUUACGUCCCUGCCCUUUGUACACACCGCCCGUCGCUACUACUGAUUGAAUUAUUUAGUGAGGUCUCCGGACGUGAUCACUGUAACGAAAGGGCUUGGUGUGUUACGGGUGUAUCGCAUAAGUGACCGAA
rnacentral:rRNA from 1 species